GGGUGCGAUCAUACCAACCCUAAUGCACCGGAUCCCAUCAGAACUUUGAAGUUAAGUGUGUUUGGGCGAGAGUAGUACUAGGAUGGGUGACCUCUUGAGAAGUCCUCGUGUUGCACCCC
rnacentral:rRNA from 1 species